AAUACCGGAUGUGCCGAAAGGUAAAAGGCUUGCUGCCUGAAGAUGAGCUCGCGUCUGAUUAGCUAGUUGGUGUGGUAAGAGCACACCAAGGCGACGAUCAGUAGCUGGUCUGAGAGGAUGAUCAGCCACACUGGGACUGAGACACGGCCCAGACUCCUACGGGAGGCAGCAGUGGGGAAUUUUCCGCAAUGGGCGAAAGCCUGACGGAGCAAUACCGCGUGAGGGAGGAAGGCUCUUGGGUUGUAAACCUCUUUUCUCAGGGAAGAAAAAAAUGACGGUACCUGAGGAAUCAGCAUCGGCUAACUCCGUGCCAGCAGCCGCGGUAAUACGGAGGAUGCAAGCGUUAUCCGGAAUGAUUGGGCGUAAAGCGUCCGCAGGUGGCUAUGUAAGUCUGCUGUUAAAGAGCAAAGCUUAACUUUGUAAAAGCAGUGGAAACUACAUAGCUAGAGUGCGUUCGGGGCAGAGGGAAUUCCUGGUGUAGCGGUGAAAUGCGUAGAGAUCAGGAAGAACACCGGUGGCGAAGGCGCUCUGCUAGGCCGCAACUGACACUGAGGGACGAAAGCUAGGGGAGCGAAUGGGAUUAGAUACCCCAGUAGUCCUAGCCGUAAACGAUGGAUACUAGGCGUUGCGAGUAUCRACCCUCGCAGUGCCGGAGCCAACGCGUUAAGUAUCCCGCCUGGGGAGUACGCACGCAAGUGUGAAACUCAAAGGAAUUGACGGGGGCCCGCACAAGCGGUGGAGUAUGUGGUUUAAUUCGAUGCAACGCGAAGAACCUUACCGGAA
rnacentral:rRNA from 1 species